rnacentral:rRNA from 1 species
AUGAAACACUCCUACGGGAGGCAGCAGUGGGGAAUAUUGGACAAUGGGCGAAAGCCUGAUCCAGCAACGCCGCGUGAGGGAUGACUGCCUUCGGGUUGUAAACCUCUUUCAGCAGGGACGAAGCGCAAGUGACGGUACCUGCAGAAGAAGCACCGGCCAACUGCGUGCCAGCAGCCGCGGUAAUACGUAGGGUGCGAGCGUUGUCCGGAAUUAUUGGGCGUAAAGGGCUCGUAGGCGGUCUGUCACGUCGGGGGUGAAAACUCAGGGCUUAACCCUGAGCCUGCUUCCGAUACGGGCAGACUAGAGGUAUGCAGGGGAGAACGGAAUUCCUGGUGUAGCGGUGAAAUGCGCAGAUAUCAGGAGGAACACCGGUGGCGAAGGCGGUUCUCUGGGCAUUACCUGACGCUGAGGAGCGAAAGUGUGGGGAGCGAACAGGAUUAGAAACCCUUGUAGUCCGAAGUUC